rnacentral:rRNA from 1 species
GAUGAACGCUAGCGGCGUGCCUAAUACAUGCAAGUCGAGCGAACGGACGAGAAGCUUGCUUCUCUGAUGUUAGCGGCGGACGGGUGAGUAACACGUGGAUAACCUACCUAUAGGACUGGGAUAACUUCGGGAAACCGUAGCUAAUACCGGAUAAUAUUUUGAACCGCAUGGUUCAAAAGUGAAAGACGGUCUUGCUGUCACUUAUAGAUGGAUCCGCGCUGCAUUAGCUAGUUGGUAAGGUAACGGCUUACCAAGGCAACGAUGCAUAGCCGACCUGAGAGGGUGAUCGGCCACACUGGAACUGAGACACGGUCCAGACUCCUACGGGAGGCAGCAGUAGGGAAUCUUCCGCAAUGGGCGAAAGCCUGACGGAGCAACGCCGCGUGAGUGAUGAAGGUCUUCGGAUCGUAAAACUCUGUUAUUAGGGAAGAACAUAUGUGUAAGUAACUGUGCACAUCUUGACGGUACCUAAUCAGAAAGCCACGGCUAACUACGUG